rnacentral:miRNA from 1 species
UGCCUACUGAGCUGAAACACAG